GUGCUCACCCACAGCUGGCAACAGCAAGUCAGUGGAUUUAGGAUAAAACCAAGAAUAAGGAACUUUACAUUGUCAAUGAUCAAACCCCUAGUGCACCCAUGGCCGUGCGUCCGCAGGACAAAGCAGCCUUUGGCAGUCCUGGAACUUAAGAGGUCCAGAGAUCAGCAGCUCUCGGCUCAGGUCCAGGCAGCUGGACAGCACCCAGUGCCUCCUCCAGGUCCUCCUGGAUCCUCUCCUUUCUUUCACUUUCAGCCCGGGAAUCUCCGUGAAGUCUUAGCUGAUAACUAAGGGGUUAAUGAAUAAUCACAGUGAUGAGCUCUGGAGGAGCCGUGGCCAGAGUAGCGGUGGGCUCCUUUGAUUAAACCACAGAGGUCCAGAGGAUCAGGCCUCGAACCUCCUCCACCACCUGCCAGCUGGCACCUGUGAAGGAGGUGGAACCAGCACCCACCUCGCAGUGGCUGCAGGAUCACCUGAGAUGGUGAUUGCAAAGUGCUGAGCCAUCGGGACACAUAUUUCCAAGACCUCCUGAGUGCCGGCUGGUCCCUGGAGCAGAGAUGAGGCCGCUGUGGGGCCUACAGUCCAGUUAUGAAGGCAGGGCUCCUGUGUAAGCCAGCAGGCCCAGGUCUGGAAAGGCCAGGACGUGGGUUCAGAAGCUCAAGGACAAUGGAUUCAUUCUGACUGGAGGGAUCCAGGAAGGCUUCAUGGAGGAAGUGGCAUUUGACAUUGGCAUCAAGGAUGAACAGGAUUAGACAGAGGGGACUGGUGUCUGCGUGAAGGAAGGCCAAAGUGCUGUUCUGGGGUGAGGGCGGUCAGCCCCUCCUGCCCCUCCUGAACUGCUCGGCUUGGGAGGCUUUGGCAGAAGGUGGCUCUGCACGCCCCAGCUGCAAGGUUGGAGCUUCCUUUUCUGCACUCCACAGCAGGAAGAAGGGCUGUGUGAACUGCUCACCACUGUCUUCCUGGAUUUGCAGCUCCGCGCCUGGCACAGAGACAGGCUCAGUGACGGUUGAAGGAAUCGGAGAAAUAAUGAAAUGUGUGUUCAUCCAGCAGGCGGCGGAGCCUUGGGUUAAGGGUUAACGUCAGGAAAUGACAGAUCCAACGCUCCUGCUUGGGGCAGCGUGGAGGCCAGCGGAGGAACUGCAGGAGCCUAAAGGAGAUGGCGCACAGGCCUGGCUUGGGAGAGCAGCCGUGAGACAAGGGGGCUCGUCUGAAAGACGGCGAAGGCUGCUGGAGGAGAUGCCCCGGGCAGGGGCUUGGCGGUGUCUGGCACCGAACUUCCCAAAGCAGCUGCCUGUGUGGACUGUGCCUGGCAGGGAGGUAGCCACACCGGGAGUGACCCUAGACUCUGGCUCCCCAGGGGUGGCUGGAGGCAGUGUCUCCGCCCGUGUGGGCCUCCUGCUUGGGGUCCGCAAGCUCUGCCCUGCCGCUGGCUGCAGUGAGAGAGGUGGCCUUCUGAACGGGCCCUGUCCCCGGGGAGCCUCUGGUAAAGAGAUUUACCUGCGCCCUCAAAACACGCCAUGUCCACCGGAGUCUCUGGGUACAGGCUGCCCCCAAAUGGAAAACCACACCCUGUUUAAGACCCAAAACCAAGGAGAGAGCCCCUCAUGCCCCCUUCUAUCUCCCCUUCUGUCCAGGGCCCCCUGCCUGCUCUGGUCCACCCCAUCCUGACCCCCUCUGCCUGUUUAUCUGAGGGCUGUGAGCCAAGGCCUGGGCCUGGCUGAGGGUCAGGGAUCCUGGACCUGCUUGAGACCAUGCUCCAUACGCUCCCUCGGUCACAAGGCCAGCUGUGGAGACAACCCCCCACCCUGAGCCGGCAGUGUCAGCAACGCCCUGUCCUCACAGUGCCGGGUAGUGUCUGGCUGAGACCCGGGGCCACCUGCUCCAACGUCCACUCCAAGCAAGCCAGAGCCAGGUGCUGCCAGCCUGCCCAUGUGUACACAUUAGCAGACAGGUUUCCUGGUGUGGCACACACGUGUUAUGACCUUGGCUGCUGUCCCCAGCCCAGAGUGCACUUCCAGGUAAUAAAUCCAGCAUCCUGAGGCUUCACUGCUCUCCUGAGGGUCUUCUCAGAUUAAAUCUCCUUCACGAUGACAGCCUCCUGUCACCUGGGCCCUGGUGACGAAGCCUUCGGAGAGGAAAGGACCCAUCCAGGGUGUUCCCAGUGGGCGUGCUGUCCACCCUCCGCCCCUGUCCUGGCCCCUGCAGUGGGGCGGCCACCUUGGGUAACGAGGCUGCCUGAGGUCCAGGAGGAGGAAGAACCAGGUGGCCCACCUUCGGUGCACAGGGAGCAGCAGGCACCUGACGGCAGCCUCCUCACCCCUCCCUGGGCUGAAGUUCAGGCUGUCUCAUCCCUUGCCAGGAGCUCAGGGCUGAGCUAGGUUGGCAGGGGAUGGGUUGAGGGUCUGUUGUCCAGCAGGUUGCCCGGGCCCCACCCAGGCCACUCAGAAAACACCUGCAAGAGCCCCGAAGGCAUGCAGGGCACUGUCGUGAGCACACCAGUGGGGACAGACGUCCAGGCAGGAGGGAGCAGCCAGACCCCCAGCCCACCAGGAUCACCAGGUGAGCAAGGCUGGGGAACGAUGGAGGCGGAGCCCCGCAGCUGCCCAGCUCACUGCCCAGCUCACUGCCCCGAGUGUCCAGGCUGUGGUGCAGGCAUGGGGACCCAGGUGUGUUCAGGGGUCUCCUUCAGGGGAGGAAACCAAGCUGGGAGUCUGGGGAGGCCGAGGUGUGAGGUGACAGCAGGUGAAGAGUGAGCCACAGUCCGCAUUUUCACAUGAAAGGAAACUACAGGGCCUGGCGUGGUGGCUCAGGCCUGUAAUCCCCGCACUGUGGGAGGCCGAGGCGGGAAGAUCACCUGAGGUCGGGAGUUCGAGACCAGCCUGACCAACAUGGAGAAACUCCAUUUCUAC